AUUGAACGCUGGCGGCAUGGUUUACACAUGCAAGUCGAACGGUAACAGGUUAAGCUGACGAGUGGCGAACGGGUGAGUAAUGCAUCGGAACGUGCCCGAUCGUGGGGGAUAACGCAGCGAAAGCUGCGCUAAUACCGCAUACGAUCUGAGGAUGAAAGCGGGGGACCGUAAGGCCUCGCGCGAUCGGAGCGGCCGAUGUCAGAUUAGGUAGUUGGUGGGGUAAAGGCUCACCAAGCCGACGAUCUGUAGCUGGUCUGAGAGGACGACCAGCCACACUGGGACUGAGACACGGCCCAGACUCCUACGGGAGGCAGCAGUGGGGAAUUUUGGACAAUGGGCGCAAGCCUGAUCCAGCAAUGCCGCGUGCAGGAAGAAGGCCUUCGGGUUGUAAACUGCUUUUGUACGGAGCGAAAAGGCUCUCUCUAAUACAGGGGGCUCAUGACGGUACCGUAAGAAUAAGCUCCGGCUAACUCCGUGCCAGCCGCCGCCGUAA
rnacentral:rRNA from 1 species